rnacentral:rRNA from 1 species
AUGAACGCUGGCGGCGUGCUUAACCCAUGCCAGUCGAACGGGAUCCAAGGGGUGCUUGCACUUUUUGGUGAGAGUGGCGAACGGGUGAGUAACACGUGAGUAACCUGUCCUUUUCUUUGGGAUAAGCAUUCGAAAGGGUGUUUAAUACCUUAUGUUCUGUCUGCCUCGCAUGGGGUGGGUGGGAAAGGCUUUGGCCGGAUUUGGGUGGGCUCGCGGUCUAUCAGCUUGUUGGUGGGGUGAUGGCUUACCAAGGCUUUGACGGGUAGCCGGCCUGAGAGGGUGGUCGGUCACAUUGGGACUGAGAUACGGCCCAGACUCCUGCGGGAGGCAGCAGUGGGGGAUAUUGCACAAUGGGCGAAAGCCUGAUGCAGCGACGCCGCGUGGGGGAUGAAGGCCUUCGGGUUGUAAACUUCUGUUGCUCUGAACAAGGCAUGCCAGUGGGUGUGUUGAGUGUAGGGGUUGAUUAGCGCCGGCUAACUACGUG